rnacentral:rRNA from 1 species
UGUGAGCUCGAUGAGUAGGGCGGGACACGUGGUAUCCUGUCUGAAUAUGGGGGGACCAUCCUCCAAGGCUAAAUACUCCUGACUGACCGAUAGUGAACCAGUACCGUGAGGGAAAGGCGAAAAGAACCCCGGCGAGGGGAGUGAAAAAGAACCUGAAACCGUGUACGUACAAGCAGUGGGAGCCUCUUUAUGGGGUGACUGCGUACCUUUUGUAUAAUGGGUCAGCGACUUAUAUUCUGUAGCAAGGUUAACCGAAUAGGGGAGCCGAAGGGAAACCGAGUCUUAACUGGGCGUUAAGUUGCAGGGUAUAGACCCGAAACCCGGUGAUCUAGCCAUGGGCAGGUUGAAGGUUGGGUAACACUAACUGGAGGACCGAACCGACUAAUGUUGAAAAAUUAGCGGAUGACUUGUGGCUGGGGGUGAAAGGCCAAUCAAACCGGGAGAUAGCUGGUUCUCCCCGAAAGCUAUUUAGGUAGCGCCUCGUGAAUUCAUCUCCGGGGGUAGAGCACUGUUUCGGCAAGGGGGUCAUCCCGACUUACCAACCCGAUGCAAACUGCGAAUACCGGAGAAUGUUAUCACGGGAGACACACGGCGGGUGCUAACGUCCGUCGUGAAGAGGGAAACAACCCAGACCGCCAGCUAAGGUCCCAAAGUCAUGGUUAAGUGGGAAACGAUGUGGGAAGGCCCAGACAGCCAGGAUGUUGGCUUAGAAGCAGCCAUCAUUUAAAGAAAGCGUAAUAGCUCACUGGUCGAGUCGGCCUGCGCGGAAGAUGUAACGGGGCUAAACCAUGCACCGAAGCUGCGGCAGCGACACUAUGUGUUGUUGGGUAGGGGAGCGUUCUGUAAGCCUGUGAAGGUGGCCUGUGAGGGUUGCUGGAGGUAUCAGAAGUGCGAAUGCUGACAUAAGUAACGAUAAAGCGGGUGAAAAGCCCGCUCGCCGGAAGACCAAGGGUUCCUGUCCAACGUUAAUCGGGGCAGGGUGAGUCGACCCCUAAGGCGAGGCCGAAAGGCGUAGUCGAUGGGAAACAGGUUAAUAUUCCUGUACUUGGUGUUACUGCGAAGGGGGGACGGAGAAGGCUAUGUUGGCCGGGCGACGGUUGUCCCGGUUUAAGCGUGUAGGCUGGUUUUCCAGGCAAAUCCGGAAAACCAAGGCUGAGGCGUGAUGACGAGGCACUACGGUGCUGAAGCGACAAAUGCCCUGCUUCCAGGAAAAGCCUCUAAGCAUCAGGUAACAUCAAAUCGUACCCCAAACCGACACAGGUGGUCAGGUAGAGAAUACCAAGGCGCUUGAGAGAACUCGGGUGAAGGAACUAGGCAAAAUGGUGCCGUAACUUCGGGAGAAGGCACGCUGAUAUGUAGGUGAAGCGACUUGCUCGUGGAGCUGAAAUCAGUCGAAGAUACCAGCUGGCUGCAACUGUUUAUUAAAAACACAGCACUGUGCAAACACGAAAGUGGACGUAUACGGUGUGACGCCUGCCCGGUGCCGGAAGGUUAAUUGAUGGGGUUAGCGGUAACGCGAAGCUCUUGAUCGAAGCCCCGGUAAACGGCGGCCGUAACUAUAACGGUCCUAAGGUAGCGAAAUUCCUUGUCGGGUAAGUUCCGACCUGCACGAAUGGCGUAAUGAUGGCCAGGCUGUCUCCACCCGAGACUCAGUGAAAUUGAACUCGCUGUGAAGAUGCAGUGUACCCGCGGCAAGACGGAAAGACCCCGUGAACCUUUACUAUAGCUUGACACUGAACAUUGAGCCUUGAUGUGUAGGAUAGGUGGGAGGCUUUGAAGUGUGGACGCCAGUCUGCAUGGAGCCGACCUUGAAAUACCACCCUUUAAUGUUUGAUGUUCUAACGUUGGCCCGUAAUCCGGGUUGCGGACAGUGUCUGGUGGGUAGUUUGACUGGGGCGGUCUCCUCCUAAAGAGUAACGGAGGAGCACGAAGGUUGGCUAAUCCUGGUCGGACAUCAGGAGGUUAGUGCAAUGGCAUAAGCCAGCUUGACUGCGAGCGUGACGGCGCGAGCAGGUGCGAAAGCAGGUCAUAGUGAUCCGGUGGUUCUGAAUGGAAGGGCCAUCGCUCAACGGAUAAAAGGUACUCCGGGGAUAACAGGCUGAUACCGCCCAAGAGUUCAUAUCGACGGCGGUGUUUGGCACCUCGAUGUCGGCUCAUCACAUCCUGGGGCUGAAGUAGGUCCCAAGGGUAUGGCUGUUCGCCAUUUAAAGUGGUACGCGAGCUGGGUUUAGAACGUCGUGAGACAGUUCGGUCCCUAUCUGCCGUGGGCGCUGGAGAACUGAGGGGGGCUGCUCCUAGUACGAGAGGACCGGAGUGGACGCAUCACUGGUGUUCGGGUUGUCAUGCCAAUGGCACUGCCCGGUAGCUAAAUGCGGAAGAGAUAAGUGCUGAAAGCAUCUAAGCACGAAACUUGC